rnacentral:rRNA from 1 species
ACGCAGGAGUGAAGCCGUAGCCGGGCGACGGUCGUUCCCGGUGCAAGGAGGUAGGCGGUCCUGGGGGAUAAAAGACCCGGGUAGCCGAGAUCCGAUGCCAACGGUUCCCUUCGGGGAGCUGGAGUCCGCCUAAUCAGGCUGCCGAGAAAAGCCUCGGCGGGGAGUGUGCAUUGUGACCGUACCGCAAACGGACACACGUAGGCGAGGCGAGUAGCCUCAGGUGCGCGAGUGAUCUGUGGAGAAGGAACUCGGCAAAAUGUCCCCGUAACUUCGGGAGAAGGGGAGCCCCCG